rnacentral:rRNA from 1 species
GACGAACGCUGGCGGCGUGCUUAACACAUGCAAGUCGAACGGUAAGGCCCUUCGGGGUACACGAGUGGCGAACGGGUGAGUAACACGUGGGUGAUCUGCCCUGCACUUCGGGAUAAGCCUGGGAAACUGGGUCUAAUACCGGAUAGGACCACUGCCUGCAUGGGUGGGGGGGGAAAGCUUUUGCGGUGUGGGAUGGGCCCGCGGCCUAUCAGCUUGUUGGGGGGGUGAUGGCCUACCAAGGCGACGACGGGUAGCCGGCCUGAGAGGGUUACCGGCCACACUGGGACUGCGAUACGGCCCAGACUCCUACGGGAGGCAGCAGUGGGGAAUAUUGCACAAUGGGCGCAAGCCUGAUGCAGCGACGCCGCGUGAGGGAUGACGGCCUUCGGGUUGUAAACCUCUUUCAGCACCGACGAAGCGCAAGUGACGGUAGGUGCAGAAGAAGGACCGGCCAACUACGUGCCAGCCGCCGCUGUAA